rnacentral:rRNA from 1 species
CCUACGGGAGGCAGCGGGGAGGAAGAUUGGUCAAUGGACGAGAGUCGGAACCAGCCGAGUAGCGUGAAGGAUGACUGCCCUAUGGGGUGUAAACUUCUGUUAUAAAUGAAUAAAACGAGGCACGUGUGCCUUUUUGCACGUACUUUAGGAAUAAGGAUGGGCUAACUCCGUGCAAGCAGCCGCGGUAAUACGGAGGAUCCGAGCGUUAACCGGCUUUAUUGGGUUUAAAGGGAGCGUAGAUGGGUUGUUAAGUCAGUUGUGAAAGUUUGCGGCUCAACCGUAAAAUUGCAAUUGAGACUGGCAGUCUUGAGUACAGGUGAGGUAUGCGGAAUUCGUGGUGUAGCGGUGAAAUGCUUAGAUAUCACGAAGAACCCCGAUUGCGAAGGCAGCUUACUAAACUGUGACUGACAUUGAUGCUCGAAAGUGUGGGUAUCAAACAGGAUUAGAUACCCUUGUAGUC